CAAUUGGGAUUUCAGAAGAAAAAUAGAUUAAUUUCUGAAUGAAGACGAACAUUAUACAAGAUGAAUAAAGUAGAGAAAAAGGUAUCUUUUUCCCCAAGCAUGAUCUGAAAAUUGAUGGACCAGCAAACUGGACCACAGAAAUAUAAGCGGGAACAGGGUUAAAUAUACCCCUGUACUAUCAGAAAGGAUUUAAAUGUCGAACAUUAUACAAGAUAAAUAAAGUAGUGAAAUAAAACAGGCUUUCUCUCCCAGCAUGAUCUGAAAAGAGAUGGACCAGCAAACUGGAUCACAGACAUAUAACUAUGCAAUCUUUCAUUAACAGACACAGUUGCAACAAGAAAAAUACUGAAUAGACUACAUGAACUUCUUCAAGCAUAAACUGGCAAAGGAUGGACUAGCAAUUUGGACCACAAAUUAAG
rnacentral:lncRNA from 1 species